UGGACCUACGGGGGGCAGCAGUGAGGAAUAUUGGUCAAUGGUCGGGAGACUGAACCAGCCAAGCCGCGUGAGGGAGGAAGGUACAGAGUAUCGUAAACCUCUUUUGUCAGGGAACAAAGGCGGGGACGUGUCCCCGGAUGAGUGUACCCGGAGAAAAAGCAUCGGCUAACUCCGUGCCAGCAGCCGCGGUAAUACGGAGGAUGCGAGCGUUAUCCGGAUUUAUUGGGUUUAAAGGGUGCGCAGGCGGCGAGUCAAGUCAGCGGUAAAAUUUCGGGGCUCAACCCCGUCGAGCCGGUGGAACUGGG
rnacentral:rRNA from 1 species